UACGGAGGUUGCAAGCGUUGUUCGGAAUUACUGGGCGUAAAGGGAGCGCAGGCGGUUAGGUCAGUCUGAAGUGAAAGCCCGGGGCUCAACCCCGGAAGGGCUUUGGAUACUGCCUAACUUGAGUACGUGAGAGGAGAGCGGAAUUCCAGGUGUAGCGGUGAAAUGCAUAGAUAUCUGGAGGAACACCGGUGGCGAAAGCGGCUCUCUGGCACGCUACUGACGCUGAGGCUCGAAAGCGUGGGGAGCGAACGGGAUUAGAUACCCCGGUAGUCCACGCCGUAAACGUUGUGCACUAGGUGUAGGAGGUAUCGACCCCUUCUGUGCCGCAGCUAACGCAUUAAGUGCACCGCCUGGGGAGUACGGUCGCAAGACUGAA
rnacentral:rRNA from 1 species